AGGAUGAACGCUGGCGGCGUGCUUAACACAUGCAAGUCGAACGGUGAAAGAGGAGCUUGCUCCUCUGGAUCAGUGGCGAACGGGUGAGUAACACGUGAGAAAUCUGCCCUGGACUCUGGGAUAAGCGUUGGAAACGACGUCUAAUACCGGAUACGAGCUUCAGCCGCAUGGCUAGAAGCUGGAAAGAACUUCGGUCCAGGAUGAUCUCGCGGCCUAUCAGUUAGUUGGUGAGGUAACGGCCCACCAAGGCGACGACGGGUAGCCGGCCUGAGAGGGUGACCGGGCCACACUGGGACUGAGACACGGCCCAGACUCCUACGGGAGGCAGCAGUGGGGAAUAUUGCACAAUGGGCGCAAGCCUGAUGCAGCAACGCCGCGUGAGGACGACGGCCUUCGGUGUAACCUCUUUAGUAGGAAGAAGCGAAAGUGACGGUACCUGCAAGAAAAAGCAACCGGCUAACUACGUGCCAGCAGCCGACGGUAACUCGUGAGCGGGUACG
rnacentral:rRNA from 1 species